CACCUGGGGAUUCCUUAGUAACGGCGAGUGAAGCGGUAAAAGCUCAAAUUUGAAAUCUGGUACUUUCAGUGCCCGAGUUGUAAUUUGUAGAAUUUGUCUUUGAUUAGGUCCUUGUCUAUGUUCCUUGGAACAGGACGUCAUAGAGGGUGAGAAUCCCGUUUGGCGAGGAUACCUUUUCUCUGUAAGACUUUUUCGAAGAGUCGAGUUGUUUGGGAAUGCAGCUCAAAGUGGGUGGUAAAUUCCAUCUAAAGCUAAAUAUUGGCGAGAGACCGAUAGCGAACAAGUACAGUGAUGGAAAGAUGAAAAGAACUUUGAAAAGAGAGUGAAAAAGUACGUGAAAUUGUUGAAAGGGAAGGGCAUUUGAUCAGACAUGGUGUUUUUUGCAUGCACUCGCCUCUCGUGGGCUUGGGCCUCUCAAAAAUUUCACUGGGCCAACAUCAAUUCUGGCAGCAGGAUAAAUCAUUAAGAAUGUAGCUACUUCGGUAGUGUUAUAGCUUUUUGGAAUACUGUUAGCCGGGAUUGAGGACUGCGCUUCGGCAAGGAUGUUGGCAUAAUGGUUAAAUGCCGCCCGUCUUGAACC
rnacentral:rRNA from 1 species